ensembl:lncRNA
CUGAUAUAAAAAGUGAAAAUCAGGUAAAGACACCUGUGAUCUGUGAUAUUAACCCAGUCCAAACCAUUGAGGACCUAGAUCUAUUACUACCAUUGUACAAAGUUGUAAAUGCAGUUAAAAGAAAAGAUUUAACCGUUCUUAAUUUGAUCUGCUCAGAACUUGUGGAGCUCUCUAACGUCUAUGCUCAAGCAGUGAAAAUGGCUGUGGUUGUUACUGAUGAUGUUGCAGAAAGUGAAGAACUUGAGAAUCUAAAAUCAGACAUUGUGGCACUGACACGUACAUUAGUUCAAACAGCUCAAGAAACAGCCAUGAGUUCUGUUACGAGUACAGACAGCAUCUAUAAGCAAGCUACAUUGUUUUCCGAUAGGAUCAAUCAAAUGCGCAAGAUUUUGCUUCCUAUUGCAGGAAUUUGGUAUCAUGCAAUCUGUGCCAUAUUCCAAAGUCAACCACAAACAGAUGCAACACAGGAAAUCCGUUAUGUCAUGGGUGCAUGUGCAGAUAUUGUAGAGCUUGUUAUAUUUUCAGAUAUUCAACAAGGUAAACAUCAGGAGAGGAUCACCACACAGAGCAAACUCCAGGCAGCUCAGGUUAAUGCUAAGCUUCUCACUGGAAUGGCCACUUCCGUACCUCCUGGAUCUGAUCAUUUAGAGGCCUCAUCUAUUCUUUGGGCUCUGUCCAUCCAGGUUCUGCUAAAUUCUAUUGAUAAACUCCUAGGGGUCUCAGUGGAGGGUGGAACAAGUCCCCUCAGAUGUCAUAGGUCAUCCCUGCAAAAACGCUUAUCGCUGAUGUCAGAAAACUCAGUGCGGAUCCAAGAAGCAUCGAGAUUGUCCUCCUUGAUUUGUAAAAACACCAGCACAGUUAGGAACAUGAGGGAUCUUCAACAGGAGGUGAGGAGUUUCACUGAAGCCUACCUUCAGGCUGCUGAGAAUCUGAACACUGCUCCCCUUGCUAACCUUCAGCAGCUCGCCACGACUGAAUUACUGAAGAGAACACUUCAAGUUAAGGUGAAGGUCUUGUCUGCUCAUCUCAGUAAAGUAAACAAAGAAUACAUGGAUGCCUUUCAACAUCUCGUUCACCUGGCAGUUUUGGCCACCGCUGGAAAUGGUUGCAUUGAAAACAGGGAAGCAGCACAGCUGGAAUUUGACAAAUGUGCUCAAUCACUGAUAGGUGACAUGAAAGCUGUAAGUCAGAAGGUCCAAGACUGCCUUAAUUACGUCAGAGACCCCAGGGUUCGUGCUGUUUUGAGGUUUACUAAUGAGCAUCUGUUGUGUCAAAUGUCAGGCAUUGUAAGUAGAGCCAGAAAAAUGGUAGACAGUCAGAACACUUGUGACCUACCAGAUCUGGAGAUUCACAUGCAGUGUUGGUCAGCCAACGCUCACUUCCUUGUGGUGGAGCUAAAUAAAGUGGAGGGCAUUCAUCCAGGAAUGAAACAGCAGGUCAGACUUGGCCUGCAGGGUAAACAGCCCUGGGACAUGCCUGCAGAAAUAUCCUCAGCCCCGGUUCAGGAAAGAUGUCCUUUGACAACUCUAGCGGCGCCCAGCUCAAUGGAUUCUGCAACGAACAUCUUGGAACAAAAGAUUCAAAACCCCCCGGAAGCAAAACAGCCGAAAAAAGAGGGGAAGGAGGCUUUUGUCAGCACAGCAAAGGACGUGAUCUCAAGCUGUCAACGGGUCACUCAGUUUAUUGGAUUUGUUACUGAACACUGCCUGGACCAGCAGUGCACGGAUGAGCUCCUCCGUAUCACGGAAUGCAUUUACACCACCACCAAGCAGCUCACCAUCAUCUCCAGCGUUAAUGCAGUGACUCCUGGGUGCAGGUCAUCCGAUGAGAUCCUAGUAAAGAAUGCACAGAACCUGCUCCACAUAAUACUCCAGGGGAUCCGAGCAGCAGAGGCAGCCUGCAUCAAGGUACCCAGGACACCUCCGUUACUCAAGGAAAUCAUUGAUCUUACACCUACUCUAACUACACACACCUUCAUUGUCAUAUAUAGACUGAAACACAUCAUUCCAGCAUAUAAGCACACAUGUACAGCUAUAUGUAUUUUUUAA